UAAGGGCGAAUUCGCCCUUCCUACGGGAGGCAGCAGUGGGGAAUCUUCCGCAAUGGGCGCAAGCCUGACGGAGCGACGCCGCGUGAAGGAAGAAGGCCAUUUUAGGUCGUAAACUUCUUUGCACGGGCUUAGGAAGACUGACUGCCCGAGAAGCAAGCAUCGGCUAACUCCGUGCCAGCAGCCGCGGUAACACGGGGGAUGCAAGCGUUAUCCGGAUUUACUGGGCGUAAAGCGUCUGUAGGUGGUUCGGUGUGUCUGUUGUCGAAACACAGGGCUCAACUCUGUGGGGCAUUUGGAUACUAUCGGACUAGAGGGCGGUAGAGGUGGGGGGAAUCCCUCGAGGAGCAGUGAAAUGCUUAGAGACGUGGGAGAAGGCCGGAGGCGAAGGCUCCCCACUGGGCCGCACCUGACACUGAGAGACGAAAGCUAGGGGAGCAAAUGGGAUUAGAGACCCCAGUAGUCCUAGCCGUAAACGAUGGGCACUCGAUGCUGCGCGCUAUCCGUGCAGUAUCUCAGCUAACGCGAUAAGUGCCCCGCCUGAGGAGUACGCUUGCAAGGGUGAAACUCAAAGGAAUUGACGGGGGCUCGCACAAGCGGUGGAGCAUGUGGUUUAAUUCGAUGCAACGCGAAGAACCUUACCAGGGCUUGACAUGGUGCCGCGUGCCCUUAACGGGGUUACGCUACACAGGCACACACAGGUGGUGCACGGCUGUCGUCAGCUCGUGUCGUGAGGUGUUGGGUUAAGUCCCGCAACGAGCGCAACCCCAUCUGGAGCCGAACGGCUACAGAGACUGCCAAAUACCGAAACUUCGGUUUGGAAAUGGAAGGAAAGGUGGGGGAUUGACCUUCAGGUUCCACUCAUGUCUC
rnacentral:rRNA from 1 species